rnacentral:rRNA from 1 species
UCUGGCUCAGAUUGAACGCUGGCGGCAUGCCUUACACAUGCAAGUCGAACGGCAGCACGGGAGCAAUCCUGGUGGCGAGUGGCGAACGGGUGAGUAAUACAUCGGAACGUGCCCAAUCGUGGGGGAUAACGCAGCGAAAGCUGUGCUAAUACCGCAUAAGAUCUAAGGAUGAAAGCAGGGGACCGCAAGGCCUUGCGCGAAUGGAGCGGCCGAUGGCAGAUUAGGUAGUUGGUGAGGUAAAGGCUCACCAAGCCUUCGAUCUGUAGCUGGUCUGAGAGGACGACCAGCCACACUGGGACUGAGACACGGCCCAGACUCCUACGGGAGGCAGCAGUGGGGAAUUUUGGACAAUGGGCGCAAGCCUGAUCCAGCCAUGCCGCGUGCAGGAUGAAGGCCUUCGGGUUGUAAACUGCUUUUGUACGGAACGAAACGGCCUUUUCUAAUAAAGAGGGCUAAUGACGGUACCGUAAGAAUAAGCACCGGCUAACUACGUGCCAGCAGCCGCGGUAAUACGUAGGGUGCAAGCGUUAAUCGGAAUUACUGGGCGUAAAGCGUGCGCAGGCGGUGAUGUAAGACAGUUGUGAAAUCCCCGGGCUCAACCUGGGAACUGCAUCUGUGACUGCAUCGCUGGAGUGCGGCAGAGGGGGAUGGAAUUCCGCGUGUAGCAGUGAAAUGCGUAGAUAUGCGGAGGAACACCGAUGGCGAAGGCAAUCCCCUGGGCCUGCACUGACGCUCAUGCACGAAAGCGUGGGGAGCAAACAGGAUUAGAUACCCUGGUAGUCCACGCCCUAAACGAUGUCAACUGGUUGUUGGGUCUUCACUGACUCAGUAACGAAGCUAACGCGUGAAGUUGACCGCCUGGGGAGUACGGCCGCAAGGUUGAAACUCAAAGAAAUUGACGGGGACCCGCACAAGCGGUGGAUGAUGUGGUUUAAUUCGAUGCAACGCGAAAAACCUUACCCACCUUUGACAUGUACGGAAUUUGCCAGAGAUGGCUUAGUGCUCGAAAGAGAACCGUAACACAGGUGCUGCAUGGCUGUCGUCAGCUCGUGUCGUGAGAUGUUGGGUUAAGUCCCGCAACGAGCGCAACCCUUGUCAUUAGUUGCUACAUUCAGUUGGGCACUCUAGUGAGACUGCCGGUGACAAACCGGAGGGAGGUGGGGAUGACGUCAAGUCCUCAUGGCCCUUAUAGGUGGGGCUACACACGUCAUACAAUGGCUGGUACAAAGGGUUGCCAACCCGCGAGGGGGAGCUAAUCCCAUAAAACCAGUCGUAGUCCGGAUCGCAGUCUGCAACUCGACUGCGUGAAGUCGGAAUCGCUAGUAAUCGUGGAUCAGAAUGUCACGGUGAAUACGUUCCCGGGUCUUGUACACACCGCCCGUCACACCAUGGGAGCGGGUUCUGCCAGAAGUAGUUAGCCUAACCGCAAGGAGGGCGAUUACCACGGCAGGGUUCGUGACUGGGGUGAAGUCGUAACAAGGUAGCCGUAUCGGAAGGUGCGGCUG